rnacentral:rRNA from 1 species
GACGUAGGGCGCGAGCGUUAUCCGGAAUGAUUGGGCGUAAAGCGUCCGCAGGUGGCUAUGUAAGUCUGCUGUUAAAGAGUCUAGCUCAACUAGAUAAGAGCAGUGGAAACUACAAGGCUAGAGUACGUUCGGGGCAGAGGGAAUUCCUGGUGUAGCGGUGAAAUGCGUAGAGAUCAGGAAGAACACCAGUGGCGAAGGCGCUCUGCUAGGCCGUAACUGACACUGAGGGACGAAAGCUAGGGGAGCGAAUGGG